rnacentral:rRNA from 1 species
AACGAACGCUGGCGGCAUGCCUAACACAUGCAAGUCGAACGAGGCCUUCGGGUCUAGUGGCGCACGGUGCGUAACGCGUGGGAACCUGCCUUUAGGUUCGGAAUAACUCAGAGAAAUUUGAGCUAAUACCGGAUGAUGUCUUCGGACCAAAGAUUUAUCGCCUUUAGAUGGGCCCGCGUAAGAUUAGCUAGUUGGUGGGGUAAAGCCUACCAAGGCGACGAUCUUUAGCUGGUCUGAGAGGAUGAUUAGCCACACUGGGACUGAGACACGGCCCAGACUCCUACGGGAGGCAGCAGUGGGAAUAUGGACAUGGCGAAAGCCUCGAUCCAGCGAAUGCCG